AAAUAAAAAUUUGUUUAAUAUUUUCUUAUUCUUAAAUCAUAUGAAUAAUCAUUUCUAGAAAAAUAGAGAAUGUCAAGAAAGAUUAUUUUUCAUUCAAAUUAUGAUAUUAUUUAUAAAUUAGAUAAAUAUUUAUA